AUCUGCCAAGCAGACUGUGAGCGUAAGUACACCGCUGGUCUGACCCGCCAAAGGAUCUGGUAAUUCAUCUUUAAGAUUAAAAAAAAAAAAAAAAGUUUCAGUGUAACUGUCUUUUUUAAUAUUCUUUCAGAAAAGUGUGAACCUCAGAAUUUAACAGAGUUGAUAAUAGUAACCACCAGCAUCAGUUUAAACCAUCCAGCCAACUGCACAUUAUCCACCGGUAACCAAACAAAAGAAGGAACACUGACUGAUCUGUUCCCUGGAACCGUCUAUGAAGUCAACUUUAAAUGUUUUAACUGCUGUGGAAAUAUCACAACCAAACCGGAUAAAGUCAGAAACCUCACUGUUACUGAAGUCACCACUGUCUCUAUGACUCUGAGCUGGAUGGAACCAUUGGGAAACAGUUCAUUCUAUGAAGUACAAUGGUCAGAUGGAUCAUCUACUCUAAAAGACAAUGUGACUGAUAAAAACAUGAUUAUAUCUAACCUGACUGCUGGUGUCCAGUAUGGCAUAAAUGUCACAGCUGUGGCUGCAGAUAAGCAAACUAAAGGAGAGAGUGUGUUUACCUCCAACUAUACAAAACCAGAUAAAGUCAGAGACCUCACUGUUACUGAUUGCACCACGUCCUCUAUAUCUCUGAACUGGACCGACCCAUCAGGAAUCAGCUCCUACUAUGAAGUACAAUGGUCAAAUGGAUCACAUAUUUGGAAUGUCAAUGUGACUGAUAAAAACGUGACUAUAUCUAACCUGACUGCCGGUGUCCAGUAUGGCAUAAAUGUCACAGCUGUGGCAGCAGAUAACCAAACUAAAGGAUGGAGUGCGUUUACCUCCAACUAUACAAGUAAGAACACACGGAAACCAUUUCAGACUUGCUAAGAGAUGACUACUACAAAAUAUCUUAAAUUAAUUCUGGGGUCUCCAUCUUUAACCUCUGUAACCACAUGCGACU
rnacentral:lncRNA from 1 species